rnacentral:rRNA from 1 species
GGGAUUGCCCUAGUAACGGCGAGUGAAGCGGCAACAGCUCAAAUUUGAAAUCUGGCACUUGUGCCCGAGUUGUAAUUUGUAGAGGAUGCUUUUGGCGACGCGCCUUCCGAGUUCCCUGGAACGGGACGCCAUAGAGGGUGAGAGCCCCGUCCGGUCGUGCGCCUAGCCUCUGUAAAGCUCCUUCGACGAGUCGAGUAGUUUGGGAAUGCUGCUCUAAAUGGGAGGUAUACGUCUUCUAAAGCUAAAUACCGGCCAGAGACCGAUAGCGCACAAGUAGAGUGAUCGAAAGAUGAAAAGCACUUUGAAAAGAGGGUUAAAUAGUACGUGAAAUUGCUGAAAGGGAAGCGCUUAUGACCAGACUUGGGCGCGGCGGAUCAUCCGGCGUUCUCGCCGGUGCACUCCACCGCCCCAGGCCAGCAUCAGUUCGCGCCGGGGGACAAAGGCUUCGGGAAUGUGGCUCCCUCGGGAGUGUUAUAGCCCGUUGCGUAAUACCCUGGUGCGGACUGAGGUCCGCGCUCUGCAAGGAUGCUGGCGUAAUGGUCAUCAGUGACCCGUCUUGAAACACGGACCAAGGAGUCGUCUUCGUAUGCGAGUGUUCGGGUGUCAAACCCCUACGCGGAAUGAAAGUGAACGUAGGAGAGAGCUUCGGCGCAUCUCCGACCGAUCCUGAUGUUCUCGGAUGGAUUUGAGUAAGAGCAUACGGGGCCGGACCCGAAAGAAGGUGAACUAUGCCUGUGUAGGGUGAAGCCAGAGGAAACUCUGGUGGAGGCUCGCAGCGGUUCUGACGUGCAAAUCGAUCGUCAAACAUGGGCAUGGGGGCGAAAGACUAAUCGAACC